UACGUAGGGUGCGAGCGUUAAUCGGAAUUACUGGGCGUAAAGCGUGCGCAGGCGGUUUGAUAAGUCAGAUGUGAAAGCCCCGGGCUCAACCUGGGAACUGCGUUUGAAACUGUCAGGCUAGAGUGUGUCAGAGGGAGGUAGAAUUCCACGUGUAGCAGUGAAAUGCGUAGAGAUGUGGAGGAAUACCGAUGGCGAAGGCAGCCUCCUGGGAUAACACUGACGGCUCGAUGCACGAAAG
rnacentral:rRNA from 1 species